GACGGAAGGUGCAAGCGUUGUCCGGAAUUAUUGGGCGUAAAGAGCUCGUAGGCGGUCUGUCGCGUCGGAUGUGAAAACCCAGGGCUCAACCCUGGGCCUGCAUUCGAUACGGGCAGACUAGAGUUCGGUAGGGGAGACUGGAAUUCCUGGUGUAGCGGUGAAAUGCGCAGAUAUCAGGAGGAAUACCCGUGGCGAAAGCGGCUCUCUGGGACGGUACUGACGCUGAGACGCGAAAGCGUGGGGAGCAAACAGG
rnacentral:rRNA from 1 species